CUUGACCCUCCAGCGUUCUCUACCAACCUUGGGUGCAGGACCACUGCAAAAAACGGAAGAGUGGGAGGAAGAAGACAUGAGUGAAGGCCAGAACUGGCAAUUCAAUGUUUUUAUAUAUCAAGAGAGUCCAGAAAUGGUCAUGAAAUCUGCACACUGAAAAGAGAAACUUCAUCAUGUUUUCUCAUGUUAUAUCUCCCAUUGGCAUGCAUGUAAAUGGACUCAUCUCGUUGGAGGACAGAAGGGAGCACUACCUUCAAUGAUGAGGUCAUUGCAACUUCAGAGCAAUUCCAGCCUUCAAGGAAACACGUUCAGGCAAGCAGACCUCUCUAGGCUAGACAGACUUUUGUGUUGUGUUGUAUUUGAUGGCCACAGUACAGUCAGGAGGAAGUCAUCAGGACGACAUUGCUGCAGGACUGGACAAUCUGGAGGGACUCAAAUGAGUAUGAGGCAGAGAGGAAGGCUACCCCAUGCUGUUGUACAUGGACAACUAUGACACAGUCCACAGAGCUGCAGCCAUCUUCUCUUGUCUGGCGGAGCUUGUGAGGUGGUCCCGCUUUGUUCCGGAAGUCCUUAUCCCACGUGUGACCUUCUGCAGAUCAUAAAAAGCCAAAGGAUCAAGGCGUGAAGAGUUCAAGCGCCAAACAGCACCCUCUAGGGUUCUGGUGGGAGCCCAGCCAGUGCCAUCACUAGGAUAUUCUCCUGGGAGCUCUGACUCAGUUUCCAUGGUGCUGGGGUACCAGGCUGUAGUCAAGCGCCUCACUUGGGGAGACACCGUGCUGUCUGCAUCAGGAACCUCAGUGUCUACUUGAGACUGCACAUUGGUGGAAAGCCUAAUCUGGGCUUCCAGUCAGUCCAAACGCAAGCUCACCUGAGUCAGAAACUUCACUUUACACAUGAUCAGUCAGGUUCCAGUGUGUGCCUUACUUCUCUAACAAACCUUCGUCUCUCACAGAAGCCCUCUGAGCAGUCAGACAUGUAGGCUGGGACCCUCUGAGACCUUCAUUCUUCUUCAGUUGGCUAAUGAGUGUUGACAUUGCAACCCGCCCUCUAGGCACUCCAAGGCAGGCCAGCAGUGGGUGUGCCGACCCCUUACAGCCAUACUGGUUCCUGGCCAGAAAAAUAUCCUCUUAACCUGUUAGCAAAUAUACCAUCUAACAGAAUCAAUUUCUAGUCUCCAUGAACUCCUGAUAUACUGUUCUACCCUGAGAUAAGCUUCAUUAACAGACGACACAUCAGUGUCUUCCUCUGGGCUCUGUGAAUGAGCAUAGUGUGCCAACCAUAAACAUCAGUGACCAUAUAUGACACAGGCUGAAAAUUUACACAGAUAGAUACACACACCACACUCAUAUAUAGAGAAGUACACACGUAUACACACACACACACACACACACACACACACACACACACACACACACACACACACAGAGGAGUUCCACCUCUUGGAAUGCGCACUUUGAUCCCAGAAUCUUAGCCUUUCCUGGGUCUCUGUGGCUGUGUCCCCGGCUCUUGUAUGUUUUAUGGGGCAGAGUUUCUCACUAUGUUAUUGCAUUUCCUCUGACUCCAAACUCAACGAAAAAGUCCAGGCUGAUGUGGAGUAACGUGCCAGAAUCUCAUUGAUCUGAGGCUGAUCUGACACCCUGAGAUCUGAUCACACUAAGUGUGUUAUCAUGGACACAACCUGGGAGAAGAGACCACUUCCUAGGCAGAUCAUACACAGAAGAGAGGUGUGUCCUGUUCAUGGAGAUGGAACCCCUCGUGGGCAGACUGAUAUUUCUUCCACAAGAAAAGGUGUCAGCGUGAGAACUCCAGUUCUGAAAUGAGGAAAAGCAGACUCAAGACCUGGAUCCCACAUACAGUUGAUUCUGGAAGCAUUCCUUGAUAGCAAAAAUGUGUGUGUAAAUUGACGCUGGACAAGGCUGUUCGAGUUGGAUGGGUCUGAGAAGACAAAACAAUCCAAGAAUUCCCAGUGAGCCAGCCAGCCAUAUCUGAUAUACUCAGGUGACCAGGAACUGCACAGCUUACUCCUGCUCCUUCACUGCACUUUGCAAGUGUGUGGAUUCCUGAGUGCACAGGCUCACAGCUGGGGAAAACAUCUGACUCUCUCACCUGCAUCUGGAAGUGUAAGGAUUCCUGACUGCACAGGCUCACAGCUGGGGAAGGCUGAGUGUCACAUCUGUGUCAGGAGGUGUGCUGGUCCCUGACUGCACAGGCUCACAGCUGGAAUAGGCUGACUGUCACAUCUGUGUCAGGAGGUGUGCUGGUCCCUGACUGCACAGGCUCACAGCUGGGGAAGGCUGACUGUCACAUCUGUGUCAGGAGGUGUGCUGGUCCCUGACUGCACAGGCUCACAGCUGGGGAAGGCUGAGUGUCACAUCUGUGUCAGGAGGUGUGCUGGUCCCUGACUGCACAGGCUCACAGCUGGGGAAGGCUGAGUGUCACAUCUGUGUCAGGAGGUGUGCUGGUCCCUGACUGCACAGGUUCACAGCUGGGGAAGGCUGACUGUCACAUCUGUGUCUAAUUGUGACAGGGCAUUGCAAUUUGAAGAUCUUCCUCAUUCAAGAGGAAGCUUUGACUCAUGAAAGUGCUGUAGGAACGUUUGGAUCAGAGCCGCUCAGCCCUCGGCAGAACUUCAACACCAGACUAGGGAACAGUCCAGCAGGCAGAUACACAGCAGUCUGUGUGUGACUCCAGUGUACACUCCGGCCCCACACCGGAGCACUGCAGAGCCCUGGACUCAUCUCCGUGAGCCAAAACUGACUCUCCCCGGCGAGACCCACUGCACACCACUGGGAAGAUGAAUGGCUACAAAAAAGCUUUAGGGACAAGCACAGGAUCUCAACUUCUCACACCUGACAUCUGAAACACCUAUGCUCUGGUGAGAAAGUCCACUGUGGUCAGGUCUCUUGCUGUAGAUACGGCAGGAAGCUCACAGAUGUCUGUCCUCAAGUCACCCUCUUGGGCCCAUAAGCUGAAUGUGAGAAUCCUCCGCAUCACCACUGGAGGUUGACCGUUUUGAGUCACUGGUCUUUACUCCCCCCAAAUGAACUAGUCCGUUAAAAUCACUGACUCCACUGGUGACCACAGCGCAGUCCCGGGACACAGGCCGAGUAGCCUGUCAUACCCUCCUCCUCCUGUCUGUCUGCUCUUCACACCAACCUUGUCUGCCAGGCGCUGUUUGUACUCCCUGGUGCACCUCUGUAGGAGGUGACAUUCCUGGCCUUGGGGAGAUGAUUUUUCAGUCUGAGAUACAGCACUGAAACAGCAAAUGGGAACAAUUCUAAAGUCAGAAAAGAGGGAAGCCAGGUCGGGAGAGGGAGCCAUGUCUCACACAUGACCUGACCCCGGACCUGCCAUCCUGCUCUGGGGCUCUGCAGCGCCAGCUCCCCUCCCCCCAGGGCUGGGGAUCUGAGGCUUCUGUCUGCACAGUCCUGUGCUGCUCUGGAGACUUUAGGUCGGCCACUGAGACAGGGAAGAGCCACUUUCUUUAUCGUCCCAGUGCCGACAGUAAUUCCAUAUUUAAGGUCUUUUUUCAGUUUCUCAACAAAGCAUCUAAAGGAAUAGAGCAGAGUGACUAAGAUGUACAUAAAAUGUCCAAAUGUCUAAACGAGGCCGUGAGGAAAUGAGUUUCUGCACAAAGAGUUUCAGAGAUGCCUGGUGGCACACCCUGAAAUCCCGAUCCCCUUCCAUCCCAGUGCCUGAAGAGAGAGAGGCUCACACUCUCAGUCAGUCAGCACACUCAGCAAACAGCAGCUAUCGAGAAGUAUGGCUAAGCUGACCUGGUGCUUGCUUGUCAUCCCAGUGCUCAGGAGACUGAGGAUUGAAUUAGUGAUCCCUAGAACCUCGAAGAAACAGGCCAUACUGCUGAACUUCCAAACAGGAAAUAAAGACAGCCGGCUCUUUCUUCCACUCCCAAUGACAAUAUGGAUCUUUGCUCAUCCAGUACCUUAGUGUAUUGUUUCUCAUCAGGACACAGGCUCUCCUUAGAGACCAUUAGGUAAUGACAGGGGACAGAGGGGUGCCCAGAGCUAGGAGGAGCUGUGCUGUGGAGGGAGACCUCGCGGGAUGCUGGACCCAGGGAUGCUGCUAACCUGCUUCAACACUCACUCAGUCCAGGAACCAGGAAAGAUUCACGGCUGUGUCACGAACUGCUUGAGAAGAGGCUGUGCUCAGGACCUCAGUGUGACAAACUGGUGUCUGGGAGGACACACGAGUCCCGGGUAAGAGUGACUUGUCCUUGGAGCGGGAGGAAAUGAGAGGGAGUUUUACUAUGAUCUUAAGAGACUGCCUUCCUCUUACAGAAUACCAAAAAUGGAAAACAAAAAGAACCCAUCUUCUAGAAUGAACCCUGAUGUAGGAAUUGUACAACUUGAGAAAUGCUAACGGUGGGACCUGAGCUCAUCCUAAACCUGAGUUUACUCCCCCUCUGUGGAACAGGAAGGUGAUGUGCCGACGAAGCACACCCAGAGUUGUGAAGAUCAAUGAAGUCAUGCCCAGGAAACCCCUCCUCAGUGCCUGAGCUCCUGAGAGCCACACACAUCUCCUUAGGUGGUCCACCAUCCUCUGGUGACUGUGUAGCCACAGGGAAGGCUAACCUCUUUGCUGUAUCACUCAGUAGGCUACGGGAUGAAGAGAAGAAGAAUCUGGGCUCUGCCACACACCAGUGAUAAGCCUGUGACUGGCUGCCUGAUGGGAGAAAAGGCAGUCAAAACACUCACCCAUGUGGACACACCCUGCCUACCUGCCAGCUCGUCUAACAGCUGGUCCAUGUGGGACCAGACAGACCCAAGUCUCCUACUCACAAAAUUCCCGAGUCAUGACAACACCACUUUGGGUCCCCACGCCUUUGAAAGGACAAGCAUAUGUGUGAGCGGCCAGAAACCUGAUUGAAAGAUGACAAUGUCAAGUUCAUUCUGUCCGCAAAGGUGAGAAGCAUGAAGGGGAGGGCAGGAUGAGUGAGGGAAUCCAUCCCAGGAAAGGAGGUGGAAGCUGCACGUUCUCAUGUUAAAAACUUGUGGUGCAGCAUGAAGGCAACUUCUAGAUGUCCGUGUUUAUGGUGGGCUGCUGCCAUCCCUAGGAUGUUUUCCCCCAUGUUGACGUAGGAGACAUAGGAAAAUUUGCUGUUUGUUUCCACAUUCUGGCUAUGAGUACUUAACAUUCAGAGUCUCGCUUGUGGCAGGAGACUUGAUAUUAAGAAUGGAAAAUUUCUAGGCCUGGCAUACCCUUAAUAUGGCAGUAAAGUGGCAGUGUAGAGACUGGCAGUGUCUGUGCCCCUUGAAAACAUAACUCGGAGGAGCUCUUGGGAAGCUUUACCUUAAGGAGCAGACCUUACACACAGCCCGUUUACUGAGAACAGCACUAGAAGACUUGAAGCAGCUGUUAGUGGCUGUGCACACGUCAGAGGGAUGUGCAAAAGCAUAAACCCAGCAGUCGCCACCCAGGCUUCCCCUGAUAUCACUAGUAAGGGGGGAGCACCUAAGCUUGGGGGGAGCACAGCUCAUGUCUUCCCCCGUGCGAUCCCUGCUAGAAGCAGAAGGCGUGUGAUGGGUGUGCUCAUUAACUUAGUGUCUCUCACGCUCAAGUCUGCAGGCACACUUGAGGGACUACGAGGAUGGAAAACUCUCUCCCUGCUGUUUAAGGAUAUCUGGGUCCAGGGCUGAGAGGCAGGAGAAGGAAACCCUCCUUUGAGAGCCGUGAAUGAGCUCCAUGUCCCAGAGCGCUGCACAAGCCUGUCGUGAACGUUGCUCAGGACUGAGGGUGUUGAAUUGCAAACAUGCGACGCACUCUAAAGACAAACUGGUCACACUAUUGACCUGUUCUCUGGGAUCCCACUGGCAAAGUAAGAAAAAGUGAGGCAUGGCCCCUUGGACCAAACGAUAUAAAGUUAACUUUUAAACACAGAAAAAAAGGCCCUGGGACUUGUCAAUUUGCCACAUAUGAUUGCAUGCAAGUUACCUUUCUUUUCAAGUGCAGUGAGACUUACAUCACUUGCAUCUCCAGCUGUCCAACAUUCUGUAGUACCUGGGCGGCUCUGGUGGUCUGAGCUCCAGGUUUUAAUAUGGUUGCUUCCUGUCAUCAGAUAAGCAAGGAGUUAUGGAAGCAAGUUCCUUUGUGCGUCUGGAAGGUUGUGAGCAAGUACAUUUCUGAAAUAAUGAUCCCAGUGGGCACGGUGGCACAGGCUCGCAGUCCUUCACUUCAGUGGCAGAGGCAGGGCCGCAGCCACAAGCUUCAUGGCAGAACGGCACACUCUAAAACAAUUUUAAUGAAAAAAAAUAGGAUUAAAUCAAUGCUUUUUUAAAACACAAGUUUACAAUGAAUUUUUACAUAGGGACAAAAUUCUUAUAAAACAUGACAGGGUUUCACCUUUCACAAGAUAGGCCGGGCUUGCUAGGAGUUCAUUAGGAAACAGAAGCUAGGCAUGAACUAGCGGUGACUGUGGUGGUGUGAAUGAAAAUGGCCCCAUAGGCCAAUAGGGAGUGGCACCAUUAGGAAGUGUGGUCUUGUUGAGUAGGUGUGACCUGGUUGGAGGAAGUGUGUCACUAGGGGGUGGCUUUUGAGGUUCCAGAAGCUCAAGCCGGGCCCAGUGCCCCACCUCCCUUCUGCCUGCUGAUCCAGAUAUAGAACUCUGAGCUACCUCUCCAGCACCAUGUCUGCCUGCA